AAUUUUAAACUUUCAGAGAUUAUUUCUAUGGUUCGUUACUAGAAAAGUUUCUCUGACCCUGUAGAGCACCUGAAACCAUGAGGAGGAGCAAGAGCAUCUUCUGAGCAUGAAGCCUGUUUGAGGUCUUGCUUUUGCAGCUGUGUUUUACCAUUGAUGAUUGUUCUUCUCUCCCUUUGGAAGAGGGAGAGGGAGAGAAUGUAGUCUGAGUGCU